CCUACGGGAGGCAGCAGUGAGGAAUAUUGGUCAAUGGGCGGAAGCCUGAACCAGCCAAGUAGCGUGCAGGAUGACGGCCCUACGGGUUGUAAACUGCUUUUAUACGGGAAUAACGCGCCGUACGUGUAGGGCUUUGCAUGUACCGUAUGAAUAAGGACCGGCUAAUUCCGUGCCAGCAGCCGCGGUAAUACGGAAGGUCCGGGCGUUAUCCGGAUUUAUUGGGGUGAAAGGGAGCGUAGGCGGCAUGGCAAGCGUGCUGGGAAAUGUCCGGGCUCAACCCGGGCCUUGCAGAGCGAACUGGCGUGCUUGAUUCCGCUGCAGGCAGGCGGAAUUCGUCGUGUAGCGG
rnacentral:rRNA from 1 species